CGUGUAGGCGGUCAAGUAGGUGAGAUGUGAAAUGCUCCGGCUUACCCGGAGACCGGCAUCUCAAACCGCUUGGCUUGAGUACGGGAGAGGGUGUGGGAAUUCCUGGUGUAGCGGUGAAAUGCGUAGAUAUCAGGAGGAACACCGGUGGCGAAGGCGCACACCUGGCCCGAUACUGACGCUGAGGCGCGAAAGCUAGGGGAGCAAACG
rnacentral:rRNA from 1 species